rnacentral:tRNA from 1 species
CUUUAAAUAAGCUAACAAAGCUGUUGGGCUCAUAACCCAAAAAUGGUGACUCCUUUAAAGAC